rnacentral:rRNA from 1 species
CGCUGGCGGCAGGCUUAACACAUGCAAGUCGAGCGGGCGUAGCAAUACGUCAGCGGCAGACGGGUGAGUAACGCGUGGGAACGUACCUUUUGGUUCGGAACAACACAGGGAAACUUGUGCUAAUACCGGAUAAGCCCUUACGGGGAAAGAUUUAUCGCCGAAAGAUCGGCCCGCGUCUGAUUAGCUAGUUGGUAGGGUAAUGGCCUACCAAGGCGACGAUCAGUAGCUGGUCUGAGAGGAUGAUCAGCCACAUUGGGACUGAGACACGGCCCAAACUCCUACGGGAGGCAGCAGUGGGGAAUAUUGGACAAUGGGGGCAACCCUGAUCCAGCCAUGCCGCGUGAGUGAUGAAGGCCCUAGGGUUGUAAAGCUCUUUUGUGCGGGAAGAUAAUGACGGUAC